GCCACCCAGGCGCCCCGGGAAGUUGGAUUUUAUUUUCAAGGCAGGAAGAAGAGACAGAGGCAGAAGAGGGUGACCAUCAUGUUCACCUAUUAGAUUCUUAAAAAUUGUUGAGGUCUUGCCACAUUCUGGGCGUGGGGUGGGGCGGUGGAGUCGCGGCCUCUGCCUGAGGAAGUCUCAGUCCAGCUCCUCCGUGGAUGCCGAGGCAGAUCCCAGUUCUGUGCUCUUGACCACUGCAGUCUCUCUGCCUGUGGUGGCCGGGGAGCUGAACCCCUCACGAAACAAAGCUGGGCCCUGAAGGGGCAGAGGUGCUGCUGUCACAGCAGGGAAGCAGAGCCAGGACUGGUCCCCUGCAGGUGGGCUGAAGCUGCAGAUGUGGACAAGAGACAUUCCCUGUUGCUUAGAGACCCUCUUUUAACGGUCUCUGCCUCACUCAAAGGCUGCUGGCCUUUGAUAGAUUUUGAAAACCCACCCUUUUACUUGUAUUGCUGUGAAUGUGACUGUUUCCAUCCCUCCCAACCCCUGCCCAGUGUAUUUUGGA